UACAGAGGGUGCGAGCGUUGUUCGGAAUUAUUGGGCGUAAAGGGUGCGUAGGCGGUUUGGUAAGUCUGAUGUGAAAUCUAUGGGCUCAACUCAUAGUCUGCAUCGGAAACUGCCGGGCUUGAGUGUGGGAGAGGUGAGUGGAAUUCCUGGUGUAGCGGUGAAAUGCGUAGAUAUCAGGAGGAACACCUGUGGCGAAAGCGGCUCACUGGACCACAACUGACGCUGAUGCACGAAAGCUAGGGGAGCAAACAGG
rnacentral:rRNA from 1 species